UACAGAGGUCUCAAGCGUUGUUCGGAUUCAUUGGGCGUAAAGGGUGCGUAGGCGGCGCGGUAAGUCGGGUGUGAAAUCUUGGAGCUUAACUCCGAAACUGCAUUCGAUACUGCCGUGCUUGAGGACUGGAGAGGAGACUGGAAUUUACGGUGUAGCGGUGAAAUGCGUAGAUAUCGUAAGGAACACCAGUGGCGAAGGCGGCUCACUGGCCCGGUACUGACGCUGAGGUGCGAAAGCGUGGGGAGCAAACAGG
rnacentral:rRNA from 1 species